rnacentral:rRNA from 1 species
UGACCUCGGAUCAGGUAGGGAUACU